AUUUUUAAUGACUGAAUUAUUUAAAUCUUUCAUCUAAAUUAAUUGAAUCAAAUUAAAUAGACACGUUAAGUGCUUAAAAAGUGGUCAACAUCUUUCGUCAGAUGAACCUGAGAGUUGAGGCCAAAAUUGGUCCUAAUACUGGACCUAAUCCUUUGAGGUAAUAUUUGAUGCUUCCAAUUCUGGAUUUUUUAGGGAGAGGUGAGAUGGAGGAAGGACAUCAACACACAAAAUAUGAUUUUUAAAAGAAAGAGACUUGGUAACAAAAUACAACUCUUUAAUUAUUUGCAGUGAUAGAAUAUGGACUAGAAACACUAAUGGACUGAGGAACAAGCUGUGCAAGGCAAGAGACUUAAAGGACACAGGACUCAAUAUGUUGUGCUAAAAACAAUCAAGAUAAGACAGAGAAAUGUGAUAUCAUACAACAAGAAACUUUUAUGUAACAACAAAACAAUAGAAAAUAAUCAGUGAUUAAAAUUAAAAACGAUA